rnacentral:rRNA from 1 species
AAUCUAUAAGUAAAUAUAAAUUUAAUUAGAAUUAUUUUAUUUUAAAAACAUUUAUAAAUAAAGUAAGGGUGAUUAAAAAUUAUUUUAGCCAUAUUUUAAACUAAGUACUGUAAAGGAAUAUUAUAAAUUAUUAAUAAGAAAAAAUCAAAUUUUGUACCUUUUGUAUCAUGGUUUAACUAGAUGCUUUACUUUAUAUGAAAGUUUCUCGAAAUCUAAUGAGCUAUUUUUAUUCUCAGUAUUAGUAUAUAAAAGGUAAUUGUAGCAAAAAUUUCUUAAGAAAUAAAAAUAGAAAUGAAAUUUUAUUCGCAUUAGAUGAUAGCUAGUUCUUUCAAAAUGUAUAGAAGUACUUUAAAUAAUUUCUCUUUUUAUAAUAAAAUGUAAAAUGAGUUUUAUUUAGUUAAAUUUUUAAGGAUAAGCUUAAAAAUAGUAUUUUAAAAGGUUAUUCAAUUUUUUUUAAAAUUUAACCUUAAAAAUAGCUACAAUUUUGAUUUUGUUACAAUUUCAUUCAAUUUUGAAUAAAAUAAUUAAUUUACUAGACUUAAUGAAAGAAAACUUUUGAACUGAUUAAAAGGUUAAAUUUAUGUUAAAAUGAGUAUAAACAAAUAUAUAUUAAUUUUAAAUAUAUUUAUAUUAAAAUUAUUUUAUGUUUUCUCAAAAAAAUUAUAAAAAGGAACUCGGCAAAAUCAUAUUCUGCCUGUUUAGCAAAAACAUGGCUCCUGUCAAAUUUAAAUAGGGAGUCGAGCCUGCCCAGUGAAAAUUUUUUUAACGGCCGCAGUACUUUGACUGUGCAAAGGUAGCAUAAUCAUUUGCCUUAUAAUUGAAGGCUAGUAUGAAUGGUUUGACAAGAAUAUAACUGUCUCUUUAUAAUUUAGUAGAAUUUUUUUUAUAAGUGAAGAAACUUAUAUCUAAUUAAUAGACAAGAAGACCCUAUCGAGCUUUAAAAAAUUUAAAGGAAUAAAUAUUUAUAAUUUUAAAAAAUUUACUUUUAAGAAUUUUAGUUGGGGCGACUGAGGAACAAAAAAAGCUUCCUUUUUUAAAAAGACAAGCAAGUAUUGAUCCAUGAUAUGUUGAUUAAAGGAAUUAGUUACCGUAGGGAUAACAGCAUUAUCUUUUUUGAGAGCACCUAUCGAAAAAAAGGUUUGUGACCUCGAUGUUGGACCAGAAUAACCUAAAGAUGUAGCAGUCUUUAAGGGUUGGUCUGUUCGACCAUUAAAAUUCUACGUGAUCUGAGUUCAGACCGGCGUGAGCCAGGUCAGUUUCUAUCUUUA